AAACAGAUAGGUUUGGUCCUAGCCUUUCUAUUAACUCUUAGCAAGAUUAUACAUGCAAGCAUCCCCAUCCCAGUGAAGACACCCUAUAAAUCACCACGAUCAAAAGGAGUAAGUACCAAGCACGCACGAUGCAGCUCAAAACACUUUGCUCAGCCACACCCCCACGGGAAACAGCAGUGACAAACCUUUAGUAAUAAACGAAAGUUUAACUAAGCAAUGCUACAUUCAGGGUUGGUUAACUUCGUGCCAGCCACCGCAGCCAUAUGAUUAACCCAAGCUAAUAGAGACCGGUGUAAAGAGUGUUUUAGAUCUAGUUCAAUAAAACUAAACUCCAUCUAAAUUGUAAAACCUUAGCUGAUGUAAAAUAAAACACGAAAGUGGCUUUAAAACUUCUGAACACACAGUAACUAAGACUCAAACUGGGAUUAGAUACCCCACUAUGCUAAGCCUUAAACUUCAAUAGUUAAAACAACAGAACUACUCGCCAGAAUACUACAAGCAACAGCUUAAAACUCAAAGGACUUGGCGGUGCUUCACAACCCUCUAGAGGAGCCUGUUCUAUAAUCGAUAAACCUCGAUCCACCCCACCAUCUCUUGCUCAGCCUAUAUACCGCCAUCCUCAGCAAACCCUAAUAAAGUCCACAAAGUAAGCAUAAAUGCUCCCGCAAAAACGUUAGGUCAAGUUGUAGCUUAUGAGAUGGUAAAAAAUGGGUUACAUUUUCUACCCCAGAAAACCCCACGAUAACUCUUAUGAAACCUAAGAGUCCAAGGAGGAUUUAGCAGUAAAUUAAGAAUAGAGUGCUUAAUUGAAUCAGGCCAUAAAACAUGCACACACCGCCCAUCACUCUCCUCAAGUAUAUUUAAGGACUAACUUAACUAAACACCCCUAGCAUUUAUAUAGAGGAGAUAUGUCAUAAUACGGUAAGUGUACUGGAAGGUGCACUUGGAUAAACCAAGGC
rnacentral:ncRNA from 1 species